rnacentral:rRNA from 1 species
UACAGAGGGUGCGAGCGUUGUUCGGAAUUAUUGGGCGUAAAGGGCGCGUAGGCGGUGCCACAAGUCACCUGUGAAAUCUCCGGGCUUAACUCGGAGCCUGCAGGCGAAAACUGUGGUGCUGGAGUGUGGGAGAGGUGCGUGGAAUUCCCGGUGUAGCGGUGAAAUGCGUAGAUAUCGGGGAGGAACACCCUGUGGCGAAAGCGGCGCACUGGACCAUAACUGACGCUGGAUGCGCGAAAAGCUAGGGGGAGCAAACAGGG